UCCGGAACACCGGGGCUAAUACCGGAUAACAUUUUGAACNGCAUNGUUCGAAAUUGAAAGGCGGCUUCGGCUGUCACUUAUGGAUGGACCCGCGUCGCAUUAGCUAGUCUGGUGAGGUAACGGCGUCACCAAGGCAACGAUGCGUAGCCGACCUGAGAGGGUGAUCGUGCCACACUGGGACUGAGACACGGCCCAGACUCCUACGGGAGGCAGCAGUAGGGAAUCUUCCGCAAUGGACGAAAGUCUGACGGAGCGAACGCCGCGUGAGUGAUGAAGGCUUUCGGGUCGUAAAACUCUGUUGUUAGGGAAGAACAAGUGCUAGUUGAAUAAGCUGGCACCUUGACGGUAACCUAACCAGAAAGCCACGGCUAACUACGUGCCAGCAGCCGCGGCUAAUACGUAGGUGGCAAGCGUUAUCAACGGAAUUAUUGGGCGUAAAGCGCGCGCAGGUGGUUUCUUAAGUCUGAUGUGAAAGCCCACGGCUCAACCGUGGAGGGUCAUUGGAAACUGGGAGACUUGAGUGCAGAAGAGGAAAGUGGAAUUCCAUGUGUAGCGGUGAAAUGCGUAGAGAUAUGGAGGAACACCAGUGGCGAAGGCGACUUUCUGGUCUGUAACUGACACUGGAGGCGCGAAAGCAGUGGGGAGCAAACAGGAUUGGAAGAUACCCUGACGUAGUCCACGCCGUAAACGAUGAGUGCUGAAGUGUU
rnacentral:rRNA from 1 species